UUUCAGUUCUCGUGCACCAAGGAACAGCUGCUGACUCGGAGAAAAAGGAAAAUUCCAGUGUUCCAGCACCUACCGGCUGCGGUGAGGAUGCGACUGUCCCAGGAGCUUCGACAAGCCGCAGCAGUGUCACUACAUCAGGAGCUUCCACAACCCGCAGCAGCACCACUACGACAGACAUAACGAGACGAACAAGGCCCACGAGACGUAUACCAGCACCUCAUCAUCGAGACUAUGGUGAGUA